CCUACGGGUGGCAGCAGUGGGGAAUAUUGGACAAUGGGCGAAAGCCUGAUCCAGCCAUGCCGCGUGUGUGAAGAAGGCCUUCGGGUUGUAAAGCACUUUCAGCGGGGAAGAAAGCCUUGGGGCUAAUACCCUCGAGGAAGGACAUCACCCACAGAAGAAGCACCGGCUAACUCCGUGCCAGCAGCCGCGGUAAUACGGAGGGUGCGAGCGUUAAUCGGAAUUACUGGGCGUAAAGCGCGCGUAGGCGGUCUGAUAAGCCGGUUGUGAAAGCCCCGGGCUCAACCUGGGAACGGCAUCCGGAACUGUCAGGCUAGAGUGCAGGAGAGGAAGGUAGAAUUCCCGGUGUAGCGGUGAAAUGCGUAGAGAUCGGGAGGAAUACCAGUGGCGAAGGCGGCCUUCUGGACUGACACUGACGCUGAGGUGCGAAAGCGUGGGUAGCAAACAGGAUUAGAUACCCGGGUAGUC
rnacentral:rRNA from 1 species